rnacentral:rRNA from 1 species
UAACCUUGAGUUACUCAUCACAGGCCUGUAACAGCGGGGUUCGUACGCCGCUAGUCAAGUAACGCAUCUUCUCGGAGCAAGUGCUUCGCAACUGGGAGAAGAAGAGUCAVGUYCGGCGCACGCCCUGGACGGAGCUCUAGUUACUGGCGAGACAAUCUGGUUCAGGAGACGCUUCUCAUGCCUAGUUAAGGGUGUGAUGCCAAUCCUGAGGCGAAGCUGGAGUUACGUCCAGCCGCUGCAACGCGCGCAAAGAUGUCGGUUCCGGCACCCAUUGGGGUCAGGAGCUUAAGGUACGUGCUAAUUCCCCCGAGAAAUCGGUGCCCCUAGACUGAGAUCCAGUUAAUCAAGGUCUAGGGGGGCUUCUGUUUGAUGUCCUGUUGCACAGGGCGGAUGACAGGGGCUGAAGUGUGGUCUUUUUUGGUGGGAUUCAAGUAUCACGUACWUGAACGUCCACCACCAAGACCGCACCUAAAUG